rnacentral:rRNA from 1 species
AUUGAACGCUGGCGGCAGGCCUAACACAUGCAAGUCGAGCGAGUGGCGGACGGGUGAGUAAUGUCUGGGAAACUGCCUGAGGGAGGGGGAUAACUACUGGAAACGGUAGCUAAUACCGCAUACCAUCAGAUGUGCCCAGCAGGGAUUAGCUAGUAGGUGGGGUAACGGCUCACGAAGGCGACGAUCCCUAGCUGGUCUGAGAGGAAGACCAGCCACACUGGAACUGCGACACGGUCCAGACUCCUACGGGAGGAAGCAGUGGGGAAUAUUGCCCAAUGGGCGCAAGCCUGAUGCAGCCAUGCCGCGUGUGUGAAGAAGGCUUUCGGGUUGUAAAGCACUUUCAGCGGGGAGGCGUUACCCGCAGAAUAAGCACCGGCUAACUCCGUGCCAGCAGCCGCGGUAAUAC